UAAGUUCACAUUUUUCUCCAUCCUCUGCCACCGUGACUACGUGUUUCUUCACCGCCAUCGCCACCUGAAGCUCUGCUCUGUUCAACUGGAGCUAUAAUUCAGCCUCAGAGUGGUGGCGUGGGUCUCAGCGAGUCAGCAUCGUCGUCAGCACUGUGGUGCUCUACUUCCAGAGUUUCAAUGGAGCCUCAGACUUAGGGCAAAUGAUGAUGAUGAGGCGGAGCAGAACCAUCAACCAUCCAUUGCAUCAAUCAAAGAAGAGUUUAAAUUCCUUUGUUUAUGUUUCUUUAAAAUUAUGCCUGGUCCGUUUGUGAUGUAACAGAAUAAUUUUGAACUGGCC